CGCUUCUGCGGUAGUGGAAAGACGAACACCGCUUUCUCCAGCCAAGAAAGAAGCGCCGCAUUUUUGGCACUUUGAGGUAUUGUUCUGCUGAGGAAAUAAAGGCACAUCAGUCUGCUGAAGAAGCUGCUUGAAACCAGAUUCACCUGAGG